rnacentral:rRNA from 1 species
CCUACGGGAGGCAGCAGUCGGGAAUAUUGCGCAAUGGAGGAAACUCUGACGCAGUGACGCCGCGUGCAGGCAGAAGGUUUUCGGAUUGUAAACUGCUUUAGACCGGGAAGAAACAAGACAGUACCUGUAAAAUAAGCUCCGGCUAACUACGUGCCAGCAGCCGCGGUAAUACGGAGGAUGCGAGCGUUAUCCGGAUUUAUUGGGUUUAAAGGGUGCGCAGGCGGAGGCACAAGUCAGCGGUAAAAUCGCGGGGCUCAACCCCGCUCCGCCGUUGAAACUGUGUCCCUUGAGUGCGCGAAGGGUAGGCGGAAUGCGUGGUGUAGCGGUGAAAUGCAUAGAUAUCACGCAGAACUCCGAUCGCGAAGGCAGCCUACCGGCGCGCAACUGACGCUCAUGCACGAAAGCGUGGGUAUCGAACAGGAUUAGAUACCCCAGUAGUC